rnacentral:lncRNA from 13 species
GACAUCUAGUGAGGGCCUUCUUGCUACGUCAUCACAUAGAGGAAGGUGAGAGGGCAAGAGAGGUCAAGAGAGAGAGAAAACUGAAAUCUUUCUUUUGUAACAAGCCUACUCCUUCAACAAACCCACUUUCAUGAUAACCGCAUUAAUUCAUUCAAGCGAGCAGGGCCCUCAUGGCCUAAUAAUCCCUCAUUAGGCUUCAACUCCUAAAAGUGUUGCAUAGGGGUUAAGUUUCCAACACAUGCUUUUUGGAGAACAUAUUUAAACCAUAGCAGUUAAUACUGCUAUACUGAAAUUUUUGGCAAAAAUAUUUUGCUAGUAUUUUUUGAUCUUUAAAUGUUUGCACUUUGAGAAUUCUUUCCAUUGCUGAAUAUUUUAACCCUCUUUCUGAGCUCUAACAGGCAGAGAAUGUCCCACUAAAAAAAAAAUGUGACACUCUAACCUGACAACCCAUCUCUUUUUCUCUGAACCAAAGACCUUUGAGGUGGGAAAAUGCCAAGAAAAUGCCUAUGAAACGGAAAUGGUACAUCCAAUUGCAGGUCAAAUCUGGCCCUCAAGUUCUGAGCAAAAUUCAUGAGAAAUGAUUGUUCACAAUAGGAAUAUCCAUUGAGUGUGUUAGAACCCUCGUGUUUCUAUACCUAACCACUUUCUUUCUUUUUUCAGCCCCACCUUAUCUCCAGUAGGUGGCUGGGAAGGUUAGGUUGCCUGGGUUGAGAACAACUUCAUGGACAAAAAUUUGGAUGAUUUCUGCCCUGUGAAGUCAUCUCAUGGUAAUUGCCACAAGGGCGCAGCGUGGGAAGAAAGAAGAGAAAAGUUCUUGUUUCCACAUGAAUCACCCCGGAGCAGCAUCUGUCCUCAAUUUUGACAAAGCAAAUGAAAGGGGAAAAGAGUUCUUAUUGACUGGGAGAAAACAGAGACAGCAAAGCCCAGAAGCUUCUCUUUGGUCAGCCUCGCAAUUGUAUUUCUGUCUUUCCCUCUUUGCUGUCCUCCCAAGGACUAGACAUCCAACACUCCUACGGAGGCUCUCACGACAUUGACAGUUUAGCUGGAAACCCAAGACCCACUCCUGCUUUCCCGUGGGAUUUCUCACUGCCUUCCCAUGAACUGUCCAUCCUGCAGCCCAUGAGGGCAUGUCAGACCCAGAGAGAAUAAGAGAAGGCCAUGCAGCUGGUGCCAGGCAACAUGUCUGCUCCCAGUGGACCCCAGUGGCCAGGCUUAGCCAGCCAGGCUGUGAAAUCAGAGACAGCCAGCCCUCCAGAGCACAGAAACUCUCA